rnacentral:rRNA from 1 species
ACGAACGCUGGCGGCGUGCUUAACACAUGCAAGUCGAACGGAAAGGCCCUGCUUUUGUGGGGUGCUCGAGUGGCGAACGGGUGAGUAACACGUGAGUAACCUGCCCUUGACUUUGGGAUAACUUCAGGCAACUGGGGCUAAUACCGGAUAGGAGCUCCUGCUGCAUGGUGGGGGUUGGAAAGUUUCGGCGGUUGGGGUUGGACUCGCGGCUUAUCAGCUUGUUGGUCGGGUAGUGGUUUAGCAAGGCUUUGACGGGUGGCCGGGCUGAGAGGGUGACCGGCCACAUUGGGACUGAGAUACGGCCAAGACUCCUACGGGAGGCAGCAGUGGGGAAUAUUGCACAAUGGGCGGAAGCCUGAUGCAGCAACGCCGCGUGCGGGAUGACGGCCUUCGGGUUGUAAACCGCUUUCGCCUGUGACGAAGCGUGAGUGACGGUAAUGGGUAAAGAAGCACCGGCUAACUACGUG